rnacentral:rRNA from 1 species
GUAGGUGGCAAGCGUUGUCCGGAAUUAUUGGGCGUAAAGCGCGCGCAGGCGGUUCUUUAAGUCUGAUGUGAAAGCCCACGGCUCAACCGUGGAGGGUCAUUGGAAACUGGAGAACUUGAGUACAGAAGAGGAAAGCGGAAUUCCUCGUGUAGCGGUGAAAUGCGUAGAGAUGUGGAGGAACACCAGUGGCGAAGGCGGCUUUCUGGUCUGUAACUGACGCUGAGGCGCGAAAGCGUGGGGAGCAAACAGGGAUUAGAUACCCUGGUAGUCCACGCCGUAAACGAUGAGUGCUAAGUGUUAGGGGGUUUCCGCCCCCUUAGUGCUGCAGCUAACGCAUUAAGCACUCCGCCUGGGGAGUACGGCCGCAAGGCUG